AUUUUUCUCCGCUCUCUAGUAAAUGGCUCAACCUCAUGCCCGCUGUAGGCUCCCUUCCUCACUUGUGUGGAAACCGCGCAAUAGAAGCUCUGGCCGUGUGUUACCAGGCCUGUGGAGGCUGCCUGGUUCGGUGGCUGGUCCAGUUUCCAGGAUGGCGAAUUGAGUGAUGUGGGAGAAAGGAGGAAUUGCAAGGGGAGGGAUCGAGUAGAAUUACAGUCUGGAAUGUGGAUGCGAGUCCUUGUGAGUGUUCCACGAGAGUGGUCAUCGAGUUGCUGUUGUUGUUGGUCACAGUGUUGCUCGUUGUAAGCAAUGCAAGAGUGUUGUUGUUUGAGUAUCGUGGGAUAUGAGGACUGUAGACUGCGCUGUGGUAUUGGCGUGGUCGAGGAAGCUGGAGGAAGCGGAUCGGCUCUCUUCAUUUGUUGCUGAUUCGAUUGUGAAUCUGAUUUCCAUGGUUGUGUACAGUCAUGUUCGGAUAGCAUCUCCAUGGAGGUGCUGAGGCUCGCUGUUGUCGUCACCACAUCUGUAUUCUUUAUUUAGCUGUUGAGAAUUCGUAACCUUUGAGUGUGCGCGACCGCAAGUACAACGCUUUCAGGUCAGAGGGCUGACUCGUUGAUUCCAAAGUGCUUCGGCAUCACUUCUCAUUCGCUCUUGUGCAGAGGAUUUGCAGUCAAUAGUGUGAGGUGUGUUGAUUUUCUAUGAUAAAGCAGGGCUGGUUUCUUCGAAGAGUUUUUAUUUUGUCAUCUCAGCAAAUCAGAUUGGAUUCCCACUUAAUGCAGUACUGGAUAUUCUCGUGUUAGUUUCCCUGCAGGAGUUUGUGAACAUUCUUUGGAAGGAUUUUCUUACUUUUUCAAAUUAUCUGCAAAGAUUUACUUCAUGUUGGACCUUCCAGUUGACAGUGCAAUCGUAGAUUUCACCUGAUUGUGAGCCAUCUGGAAUAGGUAGACUGCAUGUCGGCAGUUCGUGCUCACACGAAUCCGCUUCUAGGUCAAGGCAGGUUAAGAGUUUUUGUCGGAAGACCUAUGAAUAUGGCCUUGUAAAACGCAGGUUUGGAGUGUUCAUAAUCUGUAGCACCGAUCUUUACCAGGAAAAAGUAGAAAACGAUUCCUCAGGUGACCUGCAGAUAGCGAUCGGCCCAGCGUUUCGGGGCAUCUUUGAAUGGAAGGAUGUUUUGCACCUAUUUCCUGUUCAUGUUGAGAGUGGUCCGAGCAUUCAAUAUCCCUGGACUGAUGAUGAUCACUACCUCGUAAGACGGAGUCUUAUACUUAGGGAAUAGAAAUGUACUCAGUCAAGCUCAUAUUUAACAGGUAUUCGCUUCGGUCUAUUAAUCGUGAGUAGCCCUUCUCGCACAAGGGGUUCAAACAUAGAUUCUCGAGUGUGAUGUAUUAGAGUUCUUCGAAUUCAUUUAGGUGACUUGAUCCGAAGUGAACCAGUGAUAGUACGUCAAUUAGGUGUGCAGUACAGGAUCAGCAUAAUCUUCGGCUUUAAAGUGAAAUAAUUAACAAUAUAUAAUUCUUCUGGUACAAAUUUUCCCGUAGAGAAACAUAUGUCAACGUUAAGAAUCGAUUCGGCUACUUUUCGGGAGCGACAUUCCGGGAAAAUUGUUUUCUGCCUGAAGAGGCCCAUAGUGUGAUGGAAUUGGAUGGGGCUGAGUAUGUUCGUUGGCGUGAAACUGUGUUACAUGAAAACCCGUCCAUCGGAAUGCAGUACAGCUUCGAAUUGGUCCUCGAGAUUAGGUUGAAUCAUUUAACCAUGUGAAUUUGUAAGGAAGCCAUCGGAGUAUCUUCUUGUCUUUAUAAUGGAAUAUCACGCAUUAGAUAUGCUUUCAAAAAGGAGAAGCGGGAUACCUUGAUAGCAGCAUUAUGUUUCUGCGCUUCGUUAUGUGUUCGCAAGGGUUGGUUAAACUGAUGCAAAAAAGAGGCAAUACAAGUGGUUUAGGAAGGAAGCUUUUUUCCAUGAUAUAGCUGGAGGUAGCGUGACACGGUUGCAGGUUGAUUUUAAAUUGGUGUUGGGAGAGGAUAAGACAUUCGAGACAUCUAGAACCCAUCUUGCUCAAAAGUCUCCUCGUAAUGAUCUCACAUAGAAGUAAAGUUUUAACUGUGAAGUACAACCGGAAGGCUUUUGGUGCUCUUCUUAAGUACCGAUAAUUAUAGUGUAUGUUCAACAGUUACAUUCAGUUCUCUUUUGACGAUUGUGAGUUUGUUGGUUGCUUUAAUUCAAUGUGCACGAUUUUGUUGUCUAUGGAUUGUAUUCUAACCAGACCCUCCACUCCAUGAACGCAUUUGACUAUUGUCUUGCGACUGCAUUUGAAGUAGCAAGUUAGAAGGUUUCACUUAGCUCGUAUAAAUAUUGCACGUAAAUUCUAAUCCUUCAGUUGCAUCGACUCCCGCUUGGAAAUGUCUCGCUCUUAUCAGUUAUUAUUAUAUUUAUUUUUGAAAAUUCAAACUAAUUCAUUUGUCAUUGCUUAUUUAUAUUAUAGGUGCGUGUGGAACUUUCGUGGCUAGAACUGGGAAGUUGCAGAAUAUUGCUUGUCUAUGCUUGCAUCCAUUCUUUCAGCUUCAUUGGUCGUAACUGAAUUUCCUACGCUAAAGCUUCAAGUUCAUACCAUUUUUUUCGCGUUUGGGAUUUCCGCUUUCGCGCUCACCUUCUCUAUGCAGAAUCUUUGGUUCAACGGCUUGGGAGCCGUACGAAGCUUGACAAUUCACUCUUCUUUUACAGGGUCAGAUUGAGUAAACAAACCACCAGAACGUCGUCGCAAUGAUGUCAACUGAAAACUGCCAGAAGGUGGCGGACCUGAUUAUGGAGCGCAGGAUGGCUGAUCUAUGUUCUGAAAAUGAUGGUAUCAUUCCAUGCGCCUCCACAAUUCUUAAACUCACAAUUGAUGGGCACGAGCAAAGGAAAACUUUACAUACAUUACUUGUCGACGCAACUAGCUUAUACAAAAGCAUUAGGAGAUCAUUCAAUUUGACAAGGAUAGUUAGAAACAGAAUGGUCCAGGUUCUCAGGGUUCUUCUUCACGAUCCAAAAUCUUACUUGAUCUCUUCAAAGAAACAGUUCUGUGCAGAAGCAUCACAUAAGGGUUGGAGAUCGAUAUGGGUGUUGUGUCACUUUUUUCAACUCCAUUUACAGUUUGUCGCUCUGUUUUAAUUUUGGUGAAAGCAGCGUGUGCGUACCGGUCAUGGACCUCCCGAGAAAGCUUCUUCUGCAAGUUGUAAGAUUCCGGAUGAAGGUCUGACUGUUGAAGCCCAUGCUCAUGUGAUUCCACAUUCUAAUUUGUUGCCAUCGGGAUCCGCCUAUCUGGCAGCUCUACUAGAUGGAACGUUCACCAAAGAACGAUAAUUUGACAUUGUUUUGAUGCAGUGCCAUCCAAGAUAGGCUCUACAACUUGGGAAAUCCUACUCAUAUCUUGGUAGGAGCCUAAGCUAGGGCCACAGUAGGAGUAGGUUUAGAGCCAUGUGUAGGUGAUUUGUUUUUCAACUUCAGUAAUGCUACAAUGUUUCCAGUCUAAUCACUAUGAAUCAGAAUAACUUGUCUAAUCUACUUUUCAAUAUUCUGAAAAGACGUUUCCAUCCACAUUCUCUUUGGA